UCAUCAAAGCGUCCUGUCUUUUCCUCUUUCGCCUUCUAGCAAUUUUUCCCUUCCACGGACCACUCUCCCGCACCAUAAAAUUCUACAAGCACCAGUAUGUGCCCAUUAGGCCCGCUGCAUCUUGAUCCUUCUUCAUUCCCCACUCCUAUCUCGAUCCCUACAUCUUCAUCUCUCCGCGACCCUUUCUUCUCUAUCGACAGCUACCUUCGCCCUCACCUCAUGUCGCCCAUGGGUGCCUUGCCACAGAGGUAGUGGUUGCCUACGAUCUACAGCUGCAUCGUGCUAUCGACCUACGGCUGAAAAGCGGAUCUUGGGCGCACGGCCGCAGCCUGCCCGGAGAAGCCGAUGGCCGUGUUAUCUUCUCGCCAUCACCGGUGUGGAAGGUGGGAGGAGCCCGGGGCUCUAAAAGAUUGUCCACGCCCAAGAAUAAACCCUCUCCAGCGGUAGCGAUGCACUGGAGGAAGCAGUCGACGCAGGAGUCGCUCAACGAGGCGAGACCAGCUAUGGCGACCAGUGGAGCAGUACACAUUCCUUCCGUGCUGGCAGGGGGGUCCCCACGGCUGUCGCAACUGCGUCCCCAUACAAAGUGUCGUUACCGGUGCCAGCGUGAAGUUCAGGUUAUGCGUCCUGACCAUCGUCCCUGUGGACUCUCCAUUCCCCAUCACAAUCUUUUGUAGUAGUACUUCUCAUCGAGAUGUAAUUAUUGGUUAAAAAUGGUGUUUUGCAGUAUCGUACAUCAUGUUAAAACAAUAUCUUGAUUCUUCCUGAAAAGGGACACUAAAGUCACUGUAUUCUUUUGUCUAAUUUUAGCUGAUCUUGGAAGUGA